GUGUAACCGAAUCACUACAGCAGAAAGUGAAGAGAAAAGCGUGGGGCAGAAGCGGAAACGAACGACAAGGCAACAUGGUGGUUCAGUGUGCAUUUAGCAAUUGUACAAAUAAACGCUACAGAUGGGCAAAUUGGGCACCAUAAAGUUUCCACCGAUUUCCAGUGCGAGAUCCAGAAAGGACUCAACUGUGGCUGGUUGUUGCUGGCUUGGACAUCAAAACAACGGCGGAAACUGUUCGCAAAUGGAACAUUUGUAGCGAACAUUUCAUACCGGACGACUUCGAGAAACCCUGCAAUCGGAAGAGCAAGACAUUACUGAAAACGAAUGCGGUGACAUAUCCGUCUUACAGCGACAGACUGGAUUCCUUGGAGGGAAAAUACAUUAUUUGAAUUCUGCG
ensembl:lncRNA